UCAAAGUGAGCUGAAGAGCGUCUUAUUGUGGUUAAGAAGGGGGGAUUUGAG
rnacentral:tRNA from 1 species